UACGUAGGGUGCGAGCGUUGUCCGGAAUUACUGGGCGUAAAGAGCUCGUAGGUGGUUUGUCGCGUUGUUCGUGAAAACUCACAGCUUAACUGUGGGCGUGCGGGCGAUACGGGCAGACUGGAGUACUGCAGGGGAGACUGGAAUUCCUGGUGUAGCGGUGAAAUGUGUAGAGAUCGGGAGGAACACCGGUGGCGAAGGCGGGUCUCUGGGCAACUCCUGACGCUGAGGCGCGAAAGCGUGGGGAGCAAACGGG
rnacentral:rRNA from 1 species